GGUCGGACGAGACGCUGGACCGGUGGACGUCUAUGGCGGCCGUGGUGACCGCGCACAAAGCUGGCUCUGGCACAGCGCUGUCUGCAGGAAAGGGGGUGCCGGUCACGCGGCCCCCUGCCCCUCCCUGCGGACCCUGGAGUGGGAAGGAUGGAGAGAGAGGAGAGGCGGCCUGAGAACAUUAAGAGAAGCAGACGACAGGAGACCCAAAUGCCAUCCUGCGGAGAAUGGCCUCGUCCCCGCAGCCAGGGGCCACAGAACAGCCAGAACGAGUCUCACACGGCCAGCUCCCCCCAAGAGAGGACUUCUCCCACCCCACCGAAGCCAGCCACCCAGGAACUCUGUCACACCGCCUGUUUGAAUUCUCUACAUUCCACUUAGCACCUUCUCAUAUUUUUGUUUGUUUUAAUGUUUUAUUUUUCUUCUGAUGAGAAUGAAAUACACAAAGCCCUCACCAACACUAGAAUGGCCAGGCAGCAAACCAGGGCUUGAAUAACUUGCCAGUGUCAUUGUCCACAGGUGUUGUCCCUGGGACCACUCAGCGUUGCAGGGCUCAUAAGCAUACUGCCUAAGGACACCCUUGGCUGCCACUGUGCCAGGAGCAGGGUGGGGGCUGUGGCAGAAGGUCCCAUCAUUUGAUGGAAGGACUUUCACUCUGUCCUCCUUUUCAGCCCUACACCUCUCCACAGGCCCCUUCCUGGCCCAGCUCCCACAUGCAGAGCUGUGGAUAAAAUGAGAGUUCCUGUGGCCAGGAUUCUCACCUGGCCCUGGUUGACUAGCUCACUGCACACCCGUGGGCAAUACAUGGCUGUUGACUCUGUAUGAAGAGCUCCACCCAGUGCUCUGGGCACGACAUGGUAGCACAGCUGCAAGGCUGCAGGAGAGCAGAGCAGAGGCUGGAGUGGUGGCAGCGCCGAGGACAGAGGCCCAGAGGACGGUUGUGCGGGACAACUGAGCAGAGGGGCCCAGAGGACGGCUGUGCAGACAGAGGGGCCCAGAGGCAGAGACCGGCUUGCUGCCUGCAGACUCACUCUGAGUGAACAGGAUUUUAGUGACUGACCUGCCACCUGGAAAUAAAGUUGGGUAUAACCCUUUCACCCCAAGAACGUUUUGCUGUCAUUUUCUUUGGUCACAGUGAAUCCAUUGCAAACUUGCCUGGGGCUGAAACCCAUUGGCAAGACAAUUGGC